GAAAUGCGAUAAGUAGUGUGAAUUGCAGAAUUCAGUGAAUCAUCGAAUCUUUGAACGCACAUUGCGCCCCUUGGUAUUCCAUGGGGCAUGCCUGUUCGAGCGUCAUUUGUACCUUCAAGCUUUGCUUGGUGUUGGGUGUUUGUCUCGCCUCUGCGCGCAGACUCGCCUCAAAACAAUUGGCAGCCGGCGUAUUGAUUUCGGAGCGCAGUACAUCUCGCGCUUUGCACUCAUAACGACGACGUCCAAAAAGUACAUUUUUUACACUCUUGACCUCGGAUCAGGUAGGGAUACCCGCUGAACUUAAGCA
rnacentral:misc_RNA from 1 species